UAUUAUAUAGGAUGUUUUCUUUAGAAAUGUGAUUUAUUUAGUAACACAUUACUAAAUAUAAUGAUUUUUAGAUUAAAAUCUUUCAAAGAAUAAAGCUCUUGGGGAAAAGAAAGAAUCUGAUUAUUGAGAGAAGAGACUGAGAAGCGUUAACAUAACAGCUCUACAUGGCAACACCAGUAUCCCCUUAAGAACUCCUGCCAAGUACUGAGGGCUCUGACUAGGGAAUGUAUAAGGAGGUUGCACAUCCUUUGUAUUGAUGAAUGAAUCCUAACUUGAGGGGGGCAGUCAGUUCACUAAUCAUAUUGUAACAACAUAUCCUUAACAACCACCUGCUCCUGCCCUGUAUUUUGACAUAGCUCCGCACAUCUUUAUUUACUGUCCUUAACACCCGGAGGCUACUUGAAGAAGGAUUUAAUUUUCAAAGUCCAGUCACUUGAUGCCUAGCCCUGCCACUAAUGUCUUGGUCAGCUCCUGGCAAAAGCCCAUCUGUCAACAUCAACAUCAACCUCAUUACCACCUCAAAUGAGUCCACACUGCAAAUUUACUCCAUUAUAUUUAGGACUUUCCAGAGGUUCAAGAUAACCUGGACCGAGGCCUGUGAAGAGGUUUCAUUUAGAAGUUGCCUGACAAAGUCAUAUGUAAUGUCUAAACCAAAUUUUGUCACAUGGGAGCUAU